CCUACGGGAGGCAGCAGUGGGGAAUAUUGCACAAUGGGGGAAACCCUGAUGCAGCGACGCCGCGUGAGUGAAGAAGUAUUUCGGUAUGUAAAGCUCUAUCAGUAGGGAAGAAAAUGACGGUACCUGUUUAAGAAGCCCCGGCUAACUACGUGCCAGCAGCCGCGGUAAUACGGAGGGGGCAAGCGUUAUCCGGAUUUACUGGGUGUAAAGGGAGCGUAGACGGCAGCAUAAGUCUGGAGUGAAAUGCCGGGGCUUAACCCCGGAACUGCUUUGGAAACUGUGCAGCUAGAGUGCAGGAGAGGUAAGUGGAAUUCCUAGUGUAGCGGUGAAAUGCGUAGAUAUUAGGAGGAACACCAGUGGCGAAGGCGGCUUACUGGACUGUAACUGACGUUGAGGCUCGAAAGCGUGGGGAGCAAACAGGAUUAGAUACCCCAGUAGUC
rnacentral:rRNA from 1 species